AUUGAACGCUGGCGGAAUGCUUUACACAUGCAAGUCGAACGGCAGCACGGGAGCUUGCUCCUGGUGGCGAGUGGCGAACGGGUGAGUAAUGCGUCGGAACGUACCGAGUAAUGGGGGAUAACGCACCGAAAGGUGUGCUAAUACCGCAUACGCCCUGAGGGGGAAAGUGGGGGAUCGCAAGACCUCACGUUAUUCGAGCGGCCGACGUCUGAUUAGCUAGUUGGUGGGGUAAAGGCCUACCAAGGCGACGAUCAGUAGCGGGUCUGAGAGGAUGAUCCGCCACACUGGAACUGAGACACGGUCCAGACUCCUACGGGAGGCAGCAGUGGGGAAUUUUGGACAAUGGGGGAAACCCUGAUCCAGCCAUUCCGCGUGAGUGAAGAAGGCCUUCGGGUUGUAAAGCUC
rnacentral:rRNA from 1 species